CCAGGAGGUAAAAGAUCACCACCUACUUAAUUUCAUGUACCUCCUCCCUCUGAGCUUCUGGGACGUGAUAAAAUCACUGGCGUAUACUAGCUUACCCUGAUGAGAUCUGCUGUCAAAUGUGACCUUUUUGUUCUUGUUCAGGCCAGACCCUGUCACCAACACGUGCCUGGAAGAGGCUUCAAACAUCUGUUUAACUCCCUGUACACUGCCUUUCCCUCUGUUGGCCCACCCAGAGGCUGCAGCAGAUUCCUCCCAUGGUCAGAACGCUGGAAACCAUCCACAGGCUCCAGCAGUGACUCCCAGCAGCUGAGGGGACUUUAUGACAGGACAUGUCCCAAGCUUUUUAUCUUGUUAAGGAGACUAUGAUCAUUUUAGGAGGCCAAUCUCAGCUCAGACAUUGUCCCGGGGGGUCUCUUUCCUCUUUAAAGACUUUCCAACCUAAUUCUCCCUUCCCCAGCCCGGCACUUCGGUAAAGUGCACUGGUUCUCCCAGGAUCUUUGUGUCAGGAGAGGAUAAGAGGAGCCUUUCCUUUUUAGGACAAGAGCAAGAAGAAAAACUCAGAGCUGGGCGUGACAUCAAGACUGACAGAGUGGAAUUUUGCCCUAGCCCUGUGAUCCUGGAACACAGAGAAGGUUAGAGAAACCCCCCCAGGCUUGGUGUUCCAGGAAACAGCAUCCUGCAGAGAAGCCCCCUUCCAUAUAUGACUUAGAUACGCUCACAGAUGCCCCCUCGACAAGGCCAGACACAAACUCUCCAAACUUGUAUUCUUUGCCUCGUACACUGUUCCUCGCUGAACCGCUUGUCCCCACUGAUCACUCAGGACCAAACACUGGUUAACCAAACUUGUUAAGUUCCUGCCCUUCACUCAGGUCUCUGAACUUUAAGCCACCCUGACAACCCCUCCCUAAGAGCCCCUGUCAAGAAUAGGCUGGUCUCACAGUAGAACAUUCUCUGAACUCGUGUCCCACCAGGCCACCCUUAUCCCACUUCCCCACACCUGGCUCUUUCUAGCAUUGUCUGCUCCUCCAGAGAAAGAAAGGCCUUUUCUGCUUAACUCUUGAGACACUCGCAAAUCUCUGGUCAGCGUUCUCCCUGUUCCAGUAGUGCUUUCCCCCAUCUUCCUGCUUAUCCUGGCUUAGGCCCCAUUAAAUGCCUAGAUGGUUCUUCCCCAGUGUCUCUCUGUCUCUCUCUCUCGCAAACAGAUGUACACACUUCUCCAGAAGGGCUCCAAUAUGGCUAUUUUUCUCUAAUAAAGGAACAGGUGUGGUGAUGCACAAGUUACAAGUAACAUACCACAGAAAAGCAGAUUUUUCUUUAUCUCUGAAUUUCUAUCCACUUUUGAUGUCCUCCCAAAUUGCUUGGCAAUCUCAAACCCCGUAUUGAGAUCUCUGUUUUAUGUAGAUGUGUCUUUCAAAACCUGUUGGUAAAGCCAAUCAGUCUGACUCAGAAGAAAAAUAAGCUCAGAAAACACAAGCAAGGCUCGUUUUAAUUGUUUCUUUCCCCUCUCAGUAAACAGAGCAUGAUUUGCCAUAAAAACGUCAAACUGUGGUAUUUAACUGAAUAAAUUCUGAGGAUUUUAGGUAGAAUACAUAAUACUUAUUCUGACAUGGUAUUGUUUCAUGCUCAUUCUAACCUGGUAUUGCAUUCUCAGAAGGGAGAAGAAGUCUUAUAGGUUCGUGUGUUUUAAGUUAAAAAUAGUAUUUGUUUUUCCUAGCAUUCGUGACUAGCCGUGGCCUAGGUAGACUCUCACGGUUUAAGCCUUUUCAAACUAAAUUUGAAGCACCACUAUUCUUUCCUAUCAGAGUAAAACACAUUCUAAAUCCUAAUAAAUCUAUUUCUUUAAUAUGCCACUUGAUGCAUAAUAGUGCAAACACAAACACAUAAUGGGCUCCUCUUGAGAAAGGAAAAUGUAUUCACUCCUGAUGAAAGAUCUUUUGAUAAUUUACUCUUGGCUUCACCACUUGAUUUAUAUCAUCUUCCCACAUUAAUUUGUUUUUAAUUUUUUUUCUGCCUUCUAAGGUUUUUCUCAUUUCAGUGACAUAGACAUGACAGAUGAGGUUGAUGAACUCCGGAAGUGCAGACUCUAACUCAGAUGAAAAGCUUAAAUUAUUGCGCAGUCCUACAGAAUCUGGGGAAGAAACGUCGAAGUCUGGAUUUCCAAGAGCUUGAUCAUAGCAUUUUAGAAACAAGUGAUGUAUUCAAAACAACAAAAACCAUGGUUACAACAGAGUGUAUUUCUUUAGUUAAUACUGAAUGGCUCCCUGGAGUGUGUUUUUUCCAAGUCUUCAGCUAAUUCCAUUGUGUGCUUUAAAAAUGAUGGCAAGGCUAUAGAAGCUCCUUAAAAUCCCUUCUUUAUGAUAGACUUUAAUUUCAAAAAUGUAUUCCUUCUAUGAACUUUAUUUUAAUUUAGAGAAAAGUAAAUAAGUUGUUUAAUUACCUUCAGUGAAGGAAGGAAGUGAUAUAGAUGACAAUGCCUCAAGGUGAAACAUUGUUUUCAAAAAUAAUACGUAAUCCCUUUACAGGUUCUGCUCGUGUACCUUCACAUGGAAGCUCCUAUUCUGUUUUCCGGUCAAGCCUCGCAAAGAUGCUUGGUUUGAGGGCACGGCCCUGGCCAGAACACUGGCACCCCAGCACUUCCUCCUGGGUGAGGACACAGAAAUAAGGUGGCUGUCUGAAGGCCAGGAAGGAAGACCUCAUCAGACCCUGAUCAUGUCGGCACCCUGAUCUCAGACGUCCAGACUCUAGAAUUGUGACAAAAUAAAUUUGUGUUGUUUUAA
rnacentral:lncRNA from 1 species